GAACUGAACAGAACCCCCACAUUCAACCUAUCCCCAGAUGGCUUGGAUCUGAGCGCUCAAUAUAUCCAAACAGCGCUCAGAUCCCACAAAUACAGUCAAAUCGCCAUACACACUAGGUCCAUAGUCAUGGGGCAGAAAGCUGGCAAUUAGGCUUCUCCAUAACACAGGGAAGCAGGGCAAUUUGUCAAAUAAAAUAACAGUUACAAAUGGCAGUUUGUAACAACGUGUG